rnacentral:rRNA from 1 species
AUUAAACGCUGGCGGCAUGCCUUACACAUGCAAGUCGAACGGCAGCACGGGAGCAAUCCUGGUGGCGAGUGGCGAACGGGUGAGUAAUGUAUCGGAACGUACCUUUCAGUGGGGGAUAACGUAGCGAAAGUUACGCUAAUACCGCAUAUUCUGUGAGCAGGAAAGCAGGGGAUCGCAAGACCUUGCGCUGAUUGAGCGGCCGAUAUCAGAUUAGCUAGUUGGUGAGGUAAGGGCUCACCAAGGCGACGAUCUGUAGCGGGUCUGAGAGGAUGAUCCGCCACACUGGAACUGAGACACGGUCCAGACUCCUACGGGAGGCAGCAGUGGGGAAUUUUGGACAAUGGGCGCAAGCCUGAUCCAGCCAUGCCGCGUGAGUGAAGAAGGCCU